rnacentral:rRNA from 1 species
UGGGGGAUAUUGCACAAUGGGCGAAAGCCUGAUGCAGCGACGCCGCGUGGGGGAUGAAGGCCUUCGGGUUGUAAACUUCUUUUGCUCUGAACAAGGCAUGCCUUUGGGGUGUGUUGAGUGUAGGGGUUGAUUAGCGCCGGCUAACUACGUGCCAGCAGCCGCGGUAAUACGUAGGGCGCGAGCGUUGUCCGGAAUUAUUGGGCGUAAAGGGCUUGUAGGUGGCUGGUUGCGUCUGUCGUGAAAGCUCAUGGCUUAACUGUGGGGUUGCGGUGGGUACGGGCUGGCUUGAGUGCAGUAGGGGAGGCUGGAAUUCCUGGUGGAGCGGUGGAAUGCGCAGAUAUCAGGAGGAAUACCGGUGGCGAAGGCGGGUCUCUGGGCUGUUACUGACGCUGAGGAGCGAAAGCGUGGGGAGCGAACAGG